GGGAUCGUUCCUGAGUUGUUUCAGGUUAGGUACGGGAUCGUUCCUGAGUUGUUUCAGGUUAGGUACGGGAUCGUUCCUGAGUUGUUUCAGGUUAGGUACGGGA